CAAUAGCGUAUACUAAAGUUGUUGCAGUUAAAAAGCUCGUAGUUGGACUUUGGUGUGGACGGCGAUGGUCGGGGCGUUCUGCGUCCGCGUACUGUCGGGUCUUGCACUGUUUAUUUGUCGAAGACCGCACAUUCCCUUAACUGGGCGUGUGUGAGGGUUCGGCUCGUUUACUGUGAAAAAAUUAGAGUGUUCAAAGCAGGCGGUUUUGCCGUGAAUAUAUUAGCAUGGAAUAAUGGAAUAGGACUUUGGUACUAUUUUGUUGGUUUUGAGGACCGAAGUAAUGAUUAAUAGGGAUAGUUGGGGGCAUUCAUACUUCCUAGUCAGAGGUGAAAUUCUUAGAUUUAGGAAAGAUGAACUACUGCGAAAGCAUUUGCCAAGGAUGUUUUCAUUAA
rnacentral:rRNA from 1 species